rnacentral:misc_RNA from 1 species
GAUGAAGAACGCAGCGAAAUGCGAUACGUAAUGUGAAUUGCAAAUUCAGUGAAUCAUCGAGUCUUUGAACGCACAUUUCGCCCCCUGGUAUUCCGGGGGGCAUGCCUGUCCGAGCGUCAUUGCUGCCCUCAAGCACGGCUUGUGUGUUGGGCCCCGUCCUCCGAUCCCGGGGGACGGGCCCGAAAGGCAGCGGCGGCACCGCGUCCGGUCCUCGAGCGUAUGGGGCUUUGUCACCCGCUCUGUAGGCCCGGCCGGCGCUUGCCGAUCAACCCAAAUUUUUAUCCAGGUUGACCUCGGAUCAGGUAGGGAUACCCGCUGAACUUAAGCAUAUCAAUAAGCGGAGGA